rnacentral:rRNA from 1 species
CUACGGGUGGCUCCAGUGGGGAAUAUUGCGCAAUGGGCGAAAGCCUGACGCAGCAACGCCGCGUGAGUGAUGAAGGCCUUCGGGUCGUAAAGCUCUGUCGGGAGGGAAGAACACCUUCGGGUCUGACGGUACCUCCCGAGGAAGCACAGGCUAACUCCGUGCCAGCAGCCGCGGUAAUACGGAGUGUGCAAGCGUUGUUCGGAAUUACUGGGCGUAAAGCGCGCGUAGGCGGCUUGAUAAGUCAGAUGUGAAAUCCCUCGGCUUAACCGAGGAACUGCAUUUGAAACUGUCAGGCUUGAGUACGGGAGGGGGAAGCGGAAUUCCCAGUGUAGAGGUGAAAUUCGUAGAUAUUGGGAGGAACACCAGCGGCGAAGGCGGCUUCCUGGACCGAUACUGACGCUGAGGCGCGAAAGCGUGGGGAGCAAACAGGAUUAGAUACCCGAGUAGUC